rnacentral:rRNA from 1 species
GGUUGAUCCUGCCAGUAGUCAUAUGCUUGUCUCAAAGAUUAAGCCAUGCAUGUCUAAGUAUAAACACUUGUACUGUGAAACUGCGAAUGGCUCAUUAAAUCAGUUAUAGUUUAUUUGAUAGUCCCUUACUACAUGGAUAACCGUGGUAAUUCUAGAGCUAAUACAUGCACAAAGGCCCGACUCCGGAAGGGCUGUAUUUAUUAGAUAAAAAACCGACGCAGUCUACUGCACCCGAGGUGAUUCAUAAUAACUUUUCGAAUCAAGGGCCCUGAGCGCUUGAUGUUUCAUUCAAA